UCUUUGUAGCUGAGUCUAGUGCCUAGCAAGUGUUAUUUUUAUUUCUGCUAAAAAAGAAACCUUCAAUCUUUAAAUUAAAAACUUACUAUUAGAUUUAGAAAAAUUGGCUGUAUUGGCUGUAUCAAUUAUUUUCUGAGUUUUGGUUGUUAAAUAUCAUUACUGUUUUUAGAGAGAGAGGGAAGGAGAGAGACAGAGACAAAGAGAGAGAAUAGCUACGUGUGAGUCUUCAAAGCUGAAAAGCCGAGUGCAAGUUAGCAGCCAUGAAUGCAAUUGCCAGUUUUGAAGAGAAACUUAAAACAAUAAUUAUGGUCCCUACCUCAUAGGAGUGUCAAAGGAUUAAUAAGGAAUAUAUAUCCUAGCAAGAGGCUGCUUGUUCACCUGGAGAAUGGAAUCAGAAGACACAUGCCAUAGAGACACAGUCGCUGACCCACAGCCACCAACAUGUGAAGUCAGGAGUUCCAUGGACUCUGAACACUGUGGUUGGAAACCAAUGUGAUCUGUGAACUUGGAAAUCUGGAAGACCUGAGAUCGAUUAACCACUGCUAUCCUGCUGGAUGGACCAAAGCAGAGAUGUUCAAGAUGAAGAUGAACCUUCACACCUUGGGGGAAGUUUGUGAUCCCACUCUGGUACCAUAUUGCAUUUACUUACUGUGUCUCCUCAGAAUCCUUUUGACUGAGAUAGUUUCUAUGAUUUUCCUUGUUUUUGAAGACCUUGGCAGUUUUGAGCAGUGCUGGUCAGAUUUUUUUUUUUUUUUUUUUGAUGUGGACCAUUUUUAAAGUCCUUUUUUAAAUUGAAUUUGUUACAGUAUUGCUUCUGUUUUACAUUUUGGUUUUUUGGCCGUGAGACAUGUGGGAUCCUA